UACGGAGGGUGCAAGCGUUGCUCGGAAUUAUUGGGCGUAAAGGGUAGGUAGGUGGUCUCAUUUGUCCGGGGUGAAAGCCUUGAGCUUAACUCAAGAAGUGCCUCGGAAACGGUGAGACUAGAGUCUUGGAGAGGGUCGUGGAAUUCCCGGUGUAGCGGUGAAAUGCGUAGAGAUCGGGAGGAACACCAGAGGCGAAGGCGGCGACCUGGACAAGUACUGACACUCAGCUACGAAAGCGUGGGGAGCAAACAGG
rnacentral:rRNA from 1 species